GAUGAACGCUAGCGGCAGGCCUAAUACAUGCAAGUCGAGGGGCAGCGCAGUGUAGCAAUACAUGGGCGGCGACCGGCAAACGGGUGCGGAACACGUACACAACCUUCCUACAAGUGGGGAAUAGCCCAGAGAAAUUUGGAUUAAUACCCCGUAACAUAGCGAUGUGGCAUCACAUUGCUAUUAUAGCUUCGGCGCUUGUUGAUGGGUGUGCGGCUGAUUAGAUAGUUGGCGGGGUAACGGCCCACCAAGUCUACGAUCAGUAGCUGAUGUGAGAGCAAGAUCAGCCACACGGGCACUGAGACACGGGCCCGACUCCUACGGGAGGCAGCAGUAAGGAAUAUUGGACAAUGGACGCAAGUCUGAUCCAGCCAUGCCGCGUGAAGGAUUAAGGUCCUCUGGAUUGUAAACUUCUUUUAUAAGGGACGAAAAAAGGUCUUUCUAGAUCGUCUGACGGUACCUUAUGAAUAAGCACCGGCUAACUCCGUGCCAGCAGCCGCCGUAAAAC
rnacentral:rRNA from 1 species